CACCCAUAAUUCUUUUCUCCUUCUUCUCUUUUCUCUCUCUCUUCACUCUCUCUUCGCCGCCUCUACGCCGCCGCCGGAAAUUGCCAACCGGCGGUGGACAACCUCCAAACCAUCUCAAAAUUUCACCAUGUAAUCUCCAACACUUCCUCUUUCCAUAUCUCCAAACCAAAUCCUUUAAAAACCCCUCAAACUCCUUGAAUCUUAGAUCUAGAAUACUUUCCCGUGACUUUUUUGCCCAAAUUCUUGAAGCUCCAACCACUAUCACCCCACAAUACCUAUAUGAACGGAUAGAGCUUUUCAAGACCUAGCUAUUGAUGCCAAUUUCAUACUGAAACCCCGCGACCAAAAUCCGACCAAAUUCCGGCGGCCUCCCCGAACAUCCUCUUUUGGCAUACCACCAUUUUUUCGGCCACUUGAAUUGUAAAAUGGUAAAAAUCAUAUUCUUUUUUCAUGGCUGCUUUUUUAUUUUAUUUUUAUUUUUUAGAUUUUUAUUUUGUCUAUUAUUAAUUAUUUUAGGAUUAGUUUUUGAAGUUUGAAAUGUUAAAUUUUCUGUUUUUGCAAAGUAGUAAAAUAGCUUUAUAUUGAUUAAAGUGAGAUAGUGAGGAAAUAUUUGAGAGUAUACGGUAAAAUCGUAAUCCUGCCCCAUUAUUAAUUUUCUGAAUUUUUGGGUUAGAAUUAGUUUCUAUCUUGUUUCCUUAUUCAAUCCAUUUCUAAUUGUGUUUGUCUAGUUGGUUUGUUAAAUCGCUUCAGCGAUAGCGUGUGUUCUGUCUGGCUUUAAUAGUUAAUUUUUGUUUGCUCAUGUUGGUUCAUAGUACAUGUGUUGAAGUUCAAUUAUAUGUUUUAAUACUUGGUUUAAUUUGAAUCAAUAGGGUGAUAUUGAUGUUGUUAAAAUCUGCAAUUUAGAUAUUUUUAUCACAAAAUAGGGUGCUAGUAGCCUACUUUUACUAGUAGGUUGGCUGAAAUUAUAUUUUUUCUCCUUGCUUCUGGCUUAGUAGAUUUUGGACAGAUUUUGAACAGUGUUUAGCACACAAUGUCAGUCCUUGUCGGGUAGACUUUUGGUGAACCAAAAUCUGUCCAAAAAGUUGUCUUUUCUUUGCCUAUUUAAGGGGUUGCCCUUUCCUCAUUAUAGGGAGGACUCCAUCACACUUCCAUAGAGUAUUUUAUUUUUGCUUUGAACAUACAAAAACAAAAAAAAAUCAGCAGCUGAAGCAUCCUUUAGUAAGCUGAAAUGGUAAGUCUUAAGAAUGAAUCUUAGAGUGCAAACCUUUUUUUAGAAAAGUAUAAGUCCUCUUUAGAGUUCGUUUUUGGGUUUCUUCUCUGAGUUUUCGGGUUGUUUUAACACGGAUUUGCUGUUGGUUUUGUGACUGUUGUGCUACUGUUUUUAUGUUGCUUUAAUUGCUGGACUACUGUUUAUUCUUUUGCUAUCCAGGUAAUCCUUUAAGACUCGUAAGGUAUGUAUUUUCAGCAAUGGGAACAACUUGAACAUGCUGCAUCAUUUAAAUGUGUUUGAUGUGGUGAAUAGUUCGAUAACAAAAGAGCUUUGUAUGUUAUUGUUAUGUAUCAAGCAUGUGAUAAUGUGAAUAUAGUCCUUUUUGAACCAAAAAAUAAAAGCUAGUCCACUUACC
rnacentral:lncRNA from 1 species